AACGAACGCUGGCGGCAUACCUAACACAUGCAAGUCGAACGAAGGCUUCGGCCUUAGUGGCGCACGGGUGAGUAACGCGUGGGAAACUGCCUAUUGGUGGGGAAUAACGACGGGAAACUGUCGCUAAUACCGCAUAAGCCCUUCGGGGGAAAGAUUUAUCGCCGAUAGAUGUGCCCGCGUCCGAUUAGCUAGUUGGUGAGGUAAUGGCUCACCAAGGCGACGAUCGGUAGCUGGUCUGAGAGGAUGAUCAGCCACACUGGGACUGAGACACGGCCCAGACUCCUACGGGAGGCGGCAGUGGGGAAUAUUGGACAAUGGGCGAAAGCCUGAUCCAGCAAUGCCGCGUGAGUGAUGAAGGCCUUAGGGUUGUAGAGCUCUUUCGGGUGGGACGAUGAUGACGGUACCACCAGAAGAAGCCCCGGCUAACUUCGUGCCAGCCGCCGCAGUAA
rnacentral:rRNA from 1 species